UUUUCUAUUAUGCUUGAAUAUAUGGGACAUGCAUUGCAAUCCUAUGCUUGCCACACUGCUGCAGUAUACUUGUUUUGCAGAGCUCUGUAGCAGGCUAGUCAAAGCUGUGACUAACCAGACCCUUGGAUACGUACUCUAAUCUCUGGCCUUUAUUUUUACAAUGAAUUUGAUUCAUUCUUUGAUUGCAUAUUUUUUCUGAUUUGCGAGAAGCUUCAUGCUCUGUGUUUGGAUGCUGACUGCAAUACAGCAAUAGUCUUUGAUACGAGUCACAGUGUACACUCUGUGGGGAGCCUGAAGAGUCCAAAGAGCACUUCUCAGAUCGUGCUAGCUUUCUAAACUAAGAUCCAGGUGAAAACUAAGGAAACACUUUGCAAGGAGAGCUGAUUUCAUCUAUGUGCACAUCAUACAGCUGAACGCCAUGAGACAUGAGCUGAACGCCACGACAUUUUUCUCAAAGAAGUGAAGUCCAAGUAUUCGUUGACCUGAUGUAAACUUUAAAUGUCCUUUGGUGUAUUCAUGUUAAAUGACAAAAUGAUCUGUUUUAGCUUCAGUGAUUUACAAGCCCUGCGAGCUCUGUCCAAUUAUUCUUUGAAAUAACGUGAAGCAGCAUUAAUACCAGACGGCAUUGCAUACAUUUGUAGUUUCUCUAGUUUUUGAAUUAUCAAUUUCAAGUCCAGUACCAUUUACGAGAGAUUUCUUCUGCUUUCAUUUUCAGCCCUACAGUCUUUUAGUCCUUAUGCUGGUGAUAUGCUUUUCAUCUAGAAAAUCAGUUUUUAGGUUUUGUUUUGUUUAUUUGCUUCUUCUUUCUUUCCUCUUUUUUUUUUUUUUUCUUUUCCUUUUUUCUUUGCCUAUCUUCUUGUAUGUAGAAGCAUUCCUCCAGCACUGAUCAGUCUCUCUCCUAUACCAGUUUUGGAGAUUUCAAAAUGUAUGCAUAUCCAGUGCCAAAUUGCUAUCUUUUCCUUCUGAAAAGGCAUUAUCUGUUGGCAAACUCUUGAGCAUGCCUUGUGGAAAUGCUUCAUUGCCUGCACUUUUAAUGAUUAUUUCUUUAAUAAAGUACUUAAG
rnacentral:lncRNA from 1 species